GCAGUUUAAACGAUCCGGUUGCAAGAGAUAAAAGAUGCUAAAUGUGAAGCGCUGACACGAUAAACAGCGAACAAUGUGCCACACAUCGAAAGAAUGGUCUAAAAGUACCGAUGCAAUGGACAAUACUAUUCAAUUUAUAAAGAUGAAGAGGCCUUUUAUGGCCCAGGAAUCGUUGAUUACAGAAAAUCUGUUACAACUCACUUUGAUUGUACAGUGAAAGAGGGCUUUGAUAGCACAUCGGCCAAUUUAAAAUAAAGUAUUCCUGUCGACAAAGCAGUAAAAAAUUAUUAGGCACUAGCUAUAAGUGAAUGUAUUAUUGAGAUGUGUGCUAACAGGAUCCUUC